GUGAAUCAUCAAAUCUUUGAACGCAAAUUGCACUCUCUUCGGAGAGUACGCCUGUUUGUGGGUCAGCCUAAAAAAAAUCGACAUAGUCGCUGUUUCGCGGUGACAUUUGUCGGAAAUAGGAUCAUCUUAAACUAUUUGGUUUUAAGCGGCUUAAAAUUUUCUUUAAGAUUACACGAACGUUUCUAUGCUUAACUUCGUAUACGUUUAAGGUAUCGA
rnacentral:misc_RNA from 1 species